rnacentral:rRNA from 1 species
UGGGGAAUUUUGGACAAUGGGCGAAAGCCUGAUCCAGCAAUGCCGCGUGUGUGAAGAAGGCCUUCGGGUUGUAAAGCACUUUUGUCCGGAAAGAAAUCCUUGGCUCUAAUACAGUCGGGGGAUGACGGUACCGGAAGAAUAAGCACCGGCUAACUACGUGCCAGCAGCCGCGGUAAUACGUAGGGUGCAAGCGUUAAUCGGAAUUACUGGGCGUAAAGCGUGCGCAGGCGGUUUGCUAAGACCGAUGUGAAAUCCCCGGGCUCAACCUGGGAACUGCAUUGGUGACUGGCAGGCUAGAGUAUGGCAGAGGGGGGUAGAAUUCCACGUGUAGCAGUGAAAUGCGUAGAGAUGUGGAGGAAUACCGAUGGCGAAGGCAGCCCCCUGGGCAAUACUGACGCUCAUGCACGAAAGCGUGGGGAGCAAACAGGAUUAGAUACCCUGGUAGUCCACGCCCUAAACGAUGUCAACUAGUUGUUGGGGAUUCAUUUCCUAGUAACGUAGCUAACGCGUGAAGUUGACCGCCUGGGGAGUACGGUCGCAAGAUUAAAACUUAAAUGAAUUGACGGGGUCAUAGCUG